rnacentral:rRNA from 1 species
GAUGAACGCUGGCGGCUUGCCUAAUACAUGCAAGUCGAGCGAACAGACGAGGAGCUUGCUCCUCUGACGUUAGCGGCGGACGGGUGAGUAACACGUGGAUAACCUACCUAUAAGACUGGGAUAACUUCGGGAAACCGGAGCUAAUACCGGAUAAUAUAUUGAACCGCAUGGUUCAAUAGUGAAAGACGGUUUUGCUGUCACUUAUAGAUGGAUCCGCGCCGCAUUAGCUAGUUGGUAAGGUAACGGCUUACCAAGGCAACGAUGCGUAGCCGACCUGAGAGGGUGAUCGGCCACACUGGACCUGAGACACGGUCCAGACUCCUACGGGAGGCAGCAGUAGGGAAUCUUCCGCAAUGGGCGAAAGCCUGACGGAGCAACGCCGCGUGAGUGAUGAAGGUCUGCGGAUCGUAAAACUCUGUUAUUAGGGAAGAACAAAUGUGUAAGUAACUAUGCACGUCUUGACGGUACCUAAUCAGAAAGCCACGGCUAACUACGG